CGCGGCGGUACCUGCUCUCGCCGCCCUUCCCGGACCCCGGAUCCCAGCGCUCGGGCCCCCGAAGGCCGACGCGCACCCCACGCCCACCGGACCCCCGCCAUGCGCGGCCUCGGGCUCCUGCUGUUCGCCGCGCUGGGGCUGCAGGGGGUCACCCCCGGGGCCGCCCUGCCCCACGUGGAGCAGUACGAGGUGGUGACGCCCCGGCGCCUGGGUGUACCCCGUGCUCGGCGGGCUCUGCCCUCCCGCCUGGGCCUGUACCCAGAGAGUGUCAGCUACGUCCUGGGGGCCCGAGGGCACACCUUCACCCUGCACCUUCGGAAGAACAGGGACCUGGUGGGCUCCGGCUACGCAGAGACCUACACGGCCACCAACGGCUCCCAGGUGACAGAGAAGCUGCAGAGGCAGGACCACUGCUUCUACCAGGGCCGCGUCGAGGGGCACCCGCGCUCGGCCGCCAGCCUCAGCACCUGCGCCGGCCUCAGGGGCUUCUUCCAGGCGGGCCCCGCCGUCCACCUGAUCGAGCCCCUGGCGGGGGCAGGGGAGGAAGGCCCGCACGCCCUGUACCUGGCGCAGCACCUGCAGCAGGAGGCUGGCACCUGCGGCGUCGAUGACCGCAGCCUGGACAGAGUCCUGGGGCCGCGGGUGUCUGCAGCCCUCAGACCGCGGUGGUCAGAACCCAGAGAGACCCGCUACGUGGAGCUGUUCGUGGUCACGGACAGCACGGAGUUCCAGCGGUUUGGGAGCAGAGAGGCCAUGCGUCAGCGGGUGCUGGAGGUGGUCAACCACGUGGACAAGCUCUAUCAGGAGCUCAAUUUCCGCGUGGUGCUCGUGGGCCUGGAGAUGUGGAAUGGUGGGGACAAGAUUCAGGUCAGCUCCCAGCCCGACGCCACCCUGGACGACUUCCUGGCCUGGCGGACUCGCGAGCUGGUGGGCCGGCAGGCGCACGACAACGUGCAGCUCAUCACCGGAGUCGACUUCACCGGGACCACCGUGGGACUGGCCAAGGUGUCCGCCAUGUGCUCCCAGAACUCAGGGGCUGUAAACCAGGACCACAGCCUGAAUCCCAUCGGCGUGGCGAGCACCAUGGCCCAUGAGAUGGGCCACAACCUGGGCAUGGACCAUGACGAGAACGUCGCCAGCUGCUACUGCCCGGUGCCACGGGAGGGUGGCGGCUGUGUGAUGGCGGCCAGCAUCGGCUCCCAGUACCCCAGGAAGUUCAGUCACUGUAGCCGGGCCGACUUGGAGACGUUCCUGGAGAAGCGACGCACAGCCUGCCUGGUGGACACCCCAGACCUUGACCGGCUGGUGGGCGGCCCUGUGUGCGGAAACGGGUUCCUGGAGCGUGGGGAGCAGUGUGACUGUGGCCGCCCUGAGGACUGUCAGAACCGCUGCUGCAACGCCAGCACCUGCCUGCUGGCCGAGGGGGCCGAGUGUGCCCACGGCGCCUGCUGCCACGAGUGCAGGGUGAAGCCGGCUGGAGAGCUGUGCCGCCCCGCGAAGGACCAGUGUGACCUUGAUGAGCACUGUGAUGGCCGGCGGCCCGCGUGCCCUGAGGAUGCCUUCCGGGAGAACGGCACACCCUGCCCAGGGGGCUACUGCUACAACGGGGCCUGCCCGACACCGGCCCAGCGCUGCCAGGACUUGUGGGGGCCAGGCUCGCGGGUGGCAGUGGAGACUUGCUUCCGCUACAGCAUCUCCGAAGGCUGCGGGGCUGGGGUCCCCUUGCAGUCCGGCAGGGUCAACAAGUGCGGCACUCUCUUCUGCGAGGGGGGACAGGACCCCCCGGAAGGCCGACACUGCAUCCUCACCACCCCCUCAGGCACUUGCCGAGCUGUCGUCCAGGAUGGCAGCACUGCGUAUGAGCCGGUGCCCAAGGGCACCAAGUGUGGCGAGGAGCAGGUUUGCUGGGACGGCUUCUGCCGGGGCCUCCACGUGUACAGAUCCAGGAACUGCUCCGCCCGGUGCAACAGCCACGGGGAGUGCGACCACAAGGACCGGUGCCACUGCUUCCCGGGCUGGGCCCCGCCCCGCUGUGCAGAGCCGCUGUCCGACCUGCAUGCAGCUCCUGGGAGCCUCCGAACACGUGUGCUGGUGGGUGUGGGCGCCCUGGUGCUGCUGGUGCUGAUCCUGGCGGGCGUGCUCAUCUACCGCAGGGCCCGGAGCCCGGUCCGAAGGAGGAAUGUGGCACCCAAGACGGCCAUGGGGCUCUCCAACCCGCUGUUCCAUGAAGGGCUCAGCAAGCCUGCGAAAGGCAGGGCUCAGGCUCCCCCCGGGGCCUCCCCAGAGCCGGCCCCGCCCGCCCAGCCCCCCAAGCCCACAGCUUCCUCGGUGACCCCUAAGCGACCGCCCCCUGCUGUAAGCGCCAGCCAUCCCAACAGACUCCAGGCCACCCCCAAAUCUCAGCCUCCAGGCUCCCUUCAGCCUCCAGCCGCCACGGCCAGACCACCGUCCCCGCUUCCUGUGUACCCCCAGCAGGCCCCGGGCCAGCUCAGACCUGCUCCUCCCGCCAAGCCCCUUCCGGUGCUGAAGCCAAAGCAGGUCAUCAAGCCGACCUGUGCUCCCCCAUUGCCACCCGUCAAGCCUGGAGCUAGAGGGGCCCAGCCUGGACCCACUCAGGUGAGGCCCUCACUGCCAGAUCAGGGCCCACCGGGUGGGGCAGAGCUUGCUCACUUCCCCCACUAGAGGCCAUAACCUCUGCUCUGUACUCUGUCAAAGGGCUUUUCAAUGCUUACUGCUUCUUCUGGCUGCUAACGUCUUUUUCUGCACGUUAGCGUAGCACGUGUAAGCACGGAAGUCUCCUGCUUCUGGAUGGAGAACAGACUUCUUGAUAAAGCAUCAGCUGUUAAUAUCCAGGGCUGUUGCCACUCUGAGCAGUCACGGUUUUGGAUGAAAUGAGGAUCCAAAUUUUGAGAAAAGUGAAAGGAAGUUAAUUCAGUUGUGCUCUUGGUAGCAGAUGGCCUUUACUAUGUUUUUUUCCCUCCCCAAGGAAGCUGUUGACCCGAAGGUUGCUCUGAAACCCCCUGUCCAGAGGAGGUGAUGGGGCAAAGCACCCUGAGGGGCAUCCGUGCACCUGUCUGGAUGUUGCCUGCGGUCUGUGACCUCACCAGCAGCAGCAGCAGAUGCAGCCGCCUGGCCCCAGGCCCUCCACUCCGUCAGGGCCUGAGGACUGUCUGAGCUGUCCUAAAGGAAGCGCUAGCUCUUCUGUGUCUCAAGGUCACAGCCUAGGGCCUCUGGACCGGGACUCCCUGGCUGGGCCGUCAGCUGCUGUCCUGACCUGGGGAAGGAGGCGGGGGGAGGCCAGCCCCUCCUCAACCACGUGUGUCUUCAGACGGCCACUGGUGUCUUAUCUGGGUUCCUGAAAACGGCGCACGUUCAGCAGGGAUCAAAAAUUUAAUAAAAUGUUUACAUUUUACGAUUAAGUUAUUGAU
rnacentral:lncRNA from 1 species